UAAAGGAAUUGGCGGGGAGCACCGCAACGGGAGGAGCGUGCGGUUUAAUUGGAUUCAACACCGGAAAACUCACCAGGGGAGACUGUUACAUGAAAGCCAGGCUAAUGACUUUGCUAGAUUUUCAGAGAGGUGGUGCAUGGCCGUCGUCAGUUCGUACCGUAAGGCGUUCUCUUAAGUGAGAUAACGAACGAGACCCUCACCAAUAGUUGCUACUUUACCCUCCGGGGUGGAGGCCCACUAUUGGGACCGCUGGCGCUAAGUCAGAGAAAGGAGAGGUCAACGGUAGGUCAGUAUGCCCCGAAUCUCUUGGGCUACACGCGCGCUUCAAAGGGCGGGCCAAUGGGCUCCGACACCGAAAGGUGAAGGUAUUCCCGAAACCCGUCCGUAGUUCGGAUUGAGGGUUGUAACUCACCCUCAUGAAGCUGGAUUCCGUAGUAAUCGCGAAUCAACAACUCGCGGUGAAUAUGCCCCUGCUCCUUGCACACACCGCCA
rnacentral:rRNA from 1 species